rnacentral:rRNA from 1 species
CUACUCUUGACAUCCAGAGAAGCCAGCGGAGACGCAGGUGUGCCUUCGGGAGCUCUGAGACAGGUGCUGCAUGGCUGUCGUCAGCUCGUGUUGUGAAAUGUUGGGUUAAGUCCCGUAACGAGCGCAACCCUUGUCCUUAUUUGCCAGCACGUAAUGGUGGGAACUCUAAGGAGACUGCCGGUGACAAACCGGAGGAAGGUGGGGACGACGUCAAGUCAUCAUGGCCCUUACGAGUAGGGCUACACACGUGCUACAAUGGUCGGUACAGAGGGUUGCGAACCUGCGAAGGUAAGCUAAUCUCAAAAAACCGAUCGUAGUCCGGAUUGGAGUCUGCAACUCGACUCCAUGAAGUCGGAAUCGCUAGUAAUCGUAGAUCAGAAUGCCACGGUGAAUACGUUCCCGGGUCUUGUA